AUUGAACGCUGGCGGCAGGCCUAACACAUGCAAGUCGAGCGGAUGAAGGGAGCUUGCUCCUGGAUUCAGCGGCGGACGGGUGAGUAAUGCCUAGGAAUCUGCCUGGCAGUGGGGGAUAACGUCAGGAAACGGGCGCUAAUACCGCAUAAGUCCUGAGGGAGAAAGUGGGGGAUCUUCGGACCUCACGCUAUCAGAUGAGCCUAGGGCGGAUUAUCUAGUUGGUGGGGUAAGGGCCUACCAAGGCGACGUUCCGUAACUGGUCUGAGAGGAUGAUCAGUCACACUGGAACUGAGACACGGUCCAGACUCCUACGGGAGGCAGCAGUGGGGAAUAUUGGACAAUGGGCGAAAGCCUGAUCCAGCCAUGCCGCGUGUGUGAAGAAGGUCUUCGGAUUGUAAAGCACUUUAAGUUGGGAGGAAGGGCAGUAAGUUAAUACCUUGCUGUUUUGACGGUACCAACAGAAUAAGCACCGGCUAACUUCGUG
rnacentral:rRNA from 1 species